GAUGAACGCUGGCGGCGUGCCUAAUACAUGCAAGUCGAGCGAACAAAAGAGGAGCUUGCUCCUAUGACGUUAGCGGCGGACGGGUGAGUAACACGUAGGUAACCUACCUAUAAGCCUGGGAUAACUUCGGGAAACCGAAGCUAAUACCGGAUAAUAUUUCGAACCGCAUGGUUCGAUAGUGAAAGAUGGUUUUGCUAUCACUUAUAAAUAGACCUGCUCCGCAUUAGCUAGUUGGUAAGGUAACGGCUUACCAAGGUAACGAUACGUAGCCGACCUGAGAGGGUGAUCGGCCACACUGGAACUGAGACACGGCCCAAUCUCCUACGGGAGGAUGCGGUAGGGAGUCUUCCGGUCUGGGCGAAAGCCGGACGGAGCAACGCCGCGUGAGUGAUGAAGGUUUUCGGAUCCUAAAACUCUGUUAUUAGGGAAGAUGAAGCGUGUAAGUAACUGUUCACGUCUUGACGUUACCUAAUCAGAAAGCCACGGCUAACUACGUG
rnacentral:rRNA from 1 species